rnacentral:rRNA from 1 species
AUUGAACGCUGGCGGCAGGCCUAACACAUGCAAGUCGAGCGAGAGGCGGACGGGGGAGUCAUGUGUGGGAAACUGCCUCAGGGGGGGGGGUAACUACUCGAAACGGUAGCUAAUACCCCAUACCAUCAGAUGUGCCCAGAUGGGGUUAGCUAGUAGGUGGGGUAACGGCUCACCUAGGCGACGAUCCCUAGCUGGUCUGAGAGGAUGACCAGCCACACGGGAACUGAGACACGGUCCAGACGCCUACGGGAGGCAGCAGUGGGGAAUAUUGCACAAUGGGCGCAAGCCUGAUGCAGCCAUGCCGCGUGUGUGAAGAAGGCCUUCGGGUUGUAAAGCACUUUCAGCGGGGAGGCGUUACCCGCAGAAGAAGCACCGGCUAACUCCGUGCCAGCAGCCGCGGUAAUUC